rnacentral:rRNA from 1 species
GUGAGGAAUAUUGGUCAAUGGGCGGGAGCCUGAACCAGCCAAGUCGCGUGAAGGAAGAAGGAUCUAUGGUUCGUAAACUUCUUUUGCAGGGGAAUAAAGUGCAGGACGUGUCCUGUUUUGUAUGUACCCUGAGAAUAAGGAUCGGCUAACUCCGUGCCAGCAGCCGCGGUAAUACGGAGGAUCCGAGCGUUAUCCGGAUCUAUUGGGUUUAAAGGGUGCGUAGGUGGUUUGAUAAGUCAGCGGUGAAAGUUUGCAGCUUAACUGUAAAAAUGCCGUUGAAACUGUCGGACUUGAGUGUAAAUGAGGUAGGCGGAAUGCGUGGUGUAGCGGUGAAAUGCAUAGAUAUCACGCAGAACUCCGAUUGCGAAGGCAGCUUACUAAGCUACAACUGACACUGAAGCACGAAAGCGUGGGGAUCAAACAGGAUUAGAAACCCGAGUAGUCC